GACGAACCGUGCGAACGUUGUUCGGAAUAACUGGGCUUAAAGGGCGCGUAGGCGGGCUGUCAAGUCUGGGGUGAAAUGCCACGGCUCAACCGUGGAACUGCCUCAGAUACUGACGGCCUCGAGGAAGGUAGGGGCAUGCGGAACUGUAGGUGGAGCGGUGAAAUGCGUUGAUAUCUACAGGAACUCCGGUGGCGAAAGCGGCGUGCUGGACCUUUUCUGACGCUGAGGCGCGAAAGCUAGGGGAGCAAACGGG
rnacentral:rRNA from 1 species